GACGAACGCUGGCGGCGUGCUUAACACAUGCAAGUCGAGCGGUAAGGCCCUUUCGGGGGUACACGAGCGGCGAACGGGUGAGUAACACGUGGGUGACCUGCCCUUAGCUCUGGGAUAAGCCUGGGAAACUGGGUCUAAUACCGGACAUGACUCCAUGACGCAUGUUGUGGGGUGGAAAGCCUUGUGCGGCUAGGGAUGGGCCUGCGGCCUAUCAGCUUGUUGGUGGGGUGANGGCCUACCAAGGCGACGACGGGUAGCCGGCCUGAGAGGGCGACCGGCCACACUGGGACUGGGACACGGCCCAGACUCCUACGGGAGGCAGCAGUGGGGAAUCUUGCGCAAUGGGCGAAAGCCUGACGCAGCGACGCCGCGUGGGGAUGACGGCCU
rnacentral:rRNA from 1 species